CGGCGACCGGCGCACUGGUGAGUAACACGUAUGCAACCUGCCCCAAUCCGGGGGAUAAGCCCGAGAAAUUGGGUCUAAUACCCCAUACGCUGACGGACCACAUGGUCUGUCAGUGAAAGAUUUAUCAGAUUGGGAUGGGCAUGCGGCGCAUUAGCUGGUUGGUGGGGUAACGGCCCACCAAGGCGACGAUGCGUAGGGGUUCUGAGAGGAAGGUCCCCCACAUUGGUACUGAGACACGGACCAAACUCCUACGGGAGGCAGCAGUGAGGAAUAUUGGUCAAUGGACGAGAGUCCGAACCAGCCAAGUCGCGUGAGGGAGGAAGGUCCUAUGGAUUGUAAACCUCUUUUGCCGGGGAGUAACAAGCGGGACGUGUCCCGCCCUGAGAGUACCCGGAGAAAAAGCAUCGGCUAACUCCGUGCCAGCAGCCGCGGUAAUACGGAGGAUGCAAGCGUUAUCCGGAUUUAUUGGGUUUAAAGGGUGCGCAGGCGGCGAGUCAAGUCAGCGGUCAAAGUGCGGAGCUCAACUCCGUAUCGCCGUUGAAACUGGUUUGCUAGAGUGCGUGCGAGGAAGGCGGAAUGCGUGGUGUAGCGGUGAAAUGCAUAGAUAUCACGCAGAACUCCGAUUGCGAAGGCAGCUUUCCAGCACGCUACUGACGCUCAUGCACGAAAGCGUGGGGAUCGAACAGGAUUAGAUACCCUGGUAGUCCACGCGGUAAACGAUGAUUACUAGAUAUUCGGGCCGAUUGGGGCCUGUGUGUCACAGCGAAAGCGUUAAGUAAUCCACCUGGGGAGUACGCCGGCAACGGUGAAACUCAAAGGAAUUGACGGGGGCCCGCACAAGCGGAGGAACAUGUGGUUUAAUUCGAUGAUACGCGAGGAACCUUACCCGGGCUCAAACGCCAAGAGACGUAACCUGAAAGGGUAUCCGCAAG
rnacentral:rRNA from 1 species